rnacentral:tRNA from 1 species
GAGGGGAUAGCUCAAGUGGUAGAGCACAUGCUUAGCAUGCAUGAGUUCCUGGGUUCAAUCCCCAGUACCUCCU